rnacentral:lncRNA from 1 species
GAGUCAAGGAGGGGCCUCUCCCCAACACCUUUCUUCCAAACACCGCUUCUUCCCUACCUCCCUCCCUCCCCUGUGCUGCCAGCCCUCGGCCUGCUGCCCUGGGGACAGGAUUGCUCAGCAAGAAGGGCUCGAGCUGGACAGAGCUCCCGGCAGUGGAUUCAAACCUGUGUCAGCUAGCUCUGCCUCCUUGGGUGAGUUCCAGUCCCUCUGAGGCACCCUCUCCUCUUCUGUCAACUGGAGCUAUCCAGGCUGCCACUGCUUUCGCGGUGACGUGAGAUGAUUUGUGGGAAGCACUUAACUUAGUGGCUGACAUAUAGAAGGUGUUUAUCGCGGGAAAUGCGGUUGUGACUGAAUGAAUGGAAGCAGAGAAAUUCAGAGGACUUUCUGAAAUGAAGCUAUUGAAGAUGUACUUUGUUCUAAAAAACAAAAAUGGGGCUGUUGAAAAAUUGUGUGUCGUGGCCGGAGCCAAGAAUGCAAGCCCAGAGACUGGCUUGGAAGAUGACCUCAGCAGAAGUAUAAGGAGACCCUGAAGUGUGGCAGUGGCAGAGGGAACGAAGGAAGAACAUCUGAAUCAUCCCUACCAUUUGGGGGAGUAAAGUCAUUUUUCUUAUUAUAGCAUCUCUCCUCUUAUGAGGCUGGUAAGUCCAUGACCAGGAUGCUGAGAACUUAUUCUCUGGUGCAUAGCUGAUACCGUCUACAUUGUUGCAUCUCCACAUGGGAGAAGGGCUGUGUAGCUUUCUGAGGUGUCUUAUUAGUCACUUUCUCAAUGCUGAGACACAACACCUGGCAUCUCACAUCAACAGAGGACAGGUUUAUUUUGGCUCGAGUUUCAGUCCUUAGUUGGCUGGCCCCAAGGCAGGAGAGCAAGGGCAAAGGAGAGCUGCCCACACCAUGGCUCCAAUGAAAGAGAGAGGGGGGGAGUGGGCAGGGAGUGAGAUUAAGCCCUUCCAGACCCCCCACCCACCUCUUUUGACCAGACCCCACCUCCUAACAGAAAGCCAGCUCUAAGCCCUGUGAUCCAAUCACCCUCCAAAAGUCCCAUCCAUGAGCUGUGAAGCUCAUGGGAGACACUGAGACAAUAAACCAUGGCAUGGGGUCCCUUUCAUAAGCACUACAGUCCCAGGCAUGAGGGCUUUGCCUUCAGAACCUACUCCCUGGAGCAGAGCCCACCUCCUAGUAUCACCAAGGAACAGAGGAUUUCAACACACGAGUUGGGGGGAUGCAUCCAGAUGGUGAAGGUGGAGGUUACAGAGCUGAGAAUGUCGGAGGAAAAACAGUUGUGUGUACGUCUAAGGAAAACAGUUGAGGCAGGAGCCCCAGAGACAGUGGAGGCGGAUGCCUCACAAAUAGGCUGGGGACAGCAGCCCAGUCCCCCACUAGUAGCCCAGCCUCCUGCUUCUCGUAUGCAGGUGAGAAGACCCCAACGGAUGAGAGCAGUCUGGGUGGAAACUUUGCCCACCUUGGAAUUCACCAGGAGCAUCCCUGGUUCCCCGCUCGCCUGCCUGAGCCACAGAACUUCCACAAUUCAGAGCAUCUGUGGUUACCUCGGUCAUGCAAGCCAAGAAUCCUCCUGGUUUCUCCGAAGUUUGAGUUCUGGGAAGCAGAACUGAGGAUGGGGGACUGUGCAGCCUUUUAAAACAGCCCCUAAGAAGCAUUGACACAUCAAUCUGUGCCCCCGAUGUCAGCCCUCGGUGUCUCCAGGCUUAAGGAUGAAGCUGCAUACUCACACCUAAGCCUCACAGAGCCAGUGAGAGAAGCAGAAAUAGAAGAACAGCAUCCCUCAGGCCAAUUUCAGAACGAGAUGCAUGUAUGCGGGUGGAGGGAGCAGGAGGAGGACUACAGAUCUGAUUUCAAAACCAUAAAAGAAAGAGAGGUCUUCACAAAAGGUUUCUUAAGAAGGCAAAACGAUGCCCCAUCAAAUAUCAGGAGGCAAGACCUCUAAAUAUCUGCUGACAACAUCCUUUCUGCAAAAUUCUCAUCAGGCAGCCUCCCACAUCCCCACACAGCUCUACCCAACAUCCAUCCUCCCCUUUCCCCAGACUCUUAUGUCUCCCUUAAUUUUACUGUUGUAGAAAAAAAUAUGUAAUUCUCUUAGUGUCUCCAAAAGGUGUGAGAAAGAAAGUGGGAAGCUACCCCCAAAAUAAAUAAAAUCAAGACAACUCAGCACAUGGAUCAUCCCCCGGCGGGCCUCCUCAGACUCAGAGUCACCCCACUGACAGAUGAGAAACAGUCUCAGAGGAAACCUGACUCGCUACAAGGCCACUGGCAAGUAUGAGUCCCGACUCGGAAGAGGCCUUCUGCCUUCAGCCACAUCUGGCCCCCAGGCCGCCAGAGGCUGGAAACCCAUCAAACUGCCAGAGACACCAGCGCAGCUGUUGCCCUGGGGUGAGACUCGGAAGCUCUGUCCAGGAAACCAAGGUCACCAGCCAUGGAGGAAACACAAGCCUUCAGGGACCCCGGGGAAGCAGAGAUGCUUGUAAUCUGUCCUCUCAAAAAGAUUCGGGACAUUGGGUUCCCUCAAGGGACUUUUACCAGAGCCGAAGUGGAAGCAGGCACCCGGUGUUCAUGCAUAGGAAUGACUGCCAGGAUGACCUGCAGACAGGGCCAAGGCUUUGUGCAAGAGGGCGUGUGGGCCAGUGAGAGGUCUCUGCCACUGAGAAUGGUCUGACCGACAUGCUGUGCCUUCUUGCUGACUCUGGGUCUGGUCCCGGGGUAGCCUGUCCCAUGCUUCUUGCCUGUGGUCUCACCACCGGACUCUGGAGACAGAUGCUUGGGGCAUAUUUGAUCCCCAAAUGGAUGUGUUCCUGGAUUCCAAAGUCAAAGUUUGCUGUAACUCAGAAGCUGUUUUCUGCUGUGUUUUUUAAACUCAUACUCUGCACCCUUAGACCUUUCUCUGGGAUUUCCUUCUGCCUCGGCCUCAUGGACUGUGCCGUUGAGAGCAAUCAUCUCAUUUCUCUCAAGGCCAAAGGAUCUGACUGUGUCGCUCUGGAAGACACCGGGAUCUGGACUGUGAGCUGCUCCCGCACCUAGGCUGCUGUGCUCUGUCUGUCUCCACUUCCCACCCCAGGGUGAUGCUGAAGCCCACUUUCCUCCCACACAAGGUUCUCCUUUUUAUCUGAUCCACCUCACUGCAGCUCCCACAGCACCACUGAGCCCUUUGGGCAGCUUCUCAGAGCCAGAUCCCAGAGGACAGUGCGGGAGGUGACAGGGUCCAGCCCCAGCAUUGCAGGUUCUCGGUCCUCCUUGGAUCACAAGUGAGGCUACACCCCGGGUGUCCAGGCUGUGGAGGAAACUGAUGAAGGGAAACAAAACUUGGGUCUUAGCCACUUACCACCAUGAUCCAGUCUCAUGUUUUAAAAGUCCAUUUUAAUAUCCUUUCCCCCUUGAUUUUCCA